UCCCUAUGGGGUGCAGCAGUCGCGAGAACUUUGCAAUACACGAAAGUGUGACAAGGCUAUCCCGAGUGCCAUCCGCUGAGGAAGGCUUUUACCCAGUAUAAAUAGCUGGGAGAAUAAGGAGAGGGCAAGUCUGGUGUCAGCCGCCGCGGUAAUACCAGCUCUCCGAGUAGUGUGGACGUUUAUUGGGCCUAAAGCAUCCGUAGCUUGCUAAGCAAGUCCCCUGUUAAAUCCACCGAUUCAAUCGGUGGAUUGCGGGGGAUACUGUUUGGCUAGGGGACGGGAGAGGCCGACGGUAUUUCCGGGGUAGGGGUGAAAUCCUAUAAUCCCGGGAAGACCACCAGUGGCGAAGGCUGUCGGCUAGAACGCGCCCGACGGUGAGGGAUGAAAGCUGGGGGAGCGAACCGGAUUAGAUACCCGGGUAGUCCCAGCUGUAAACGAUGCAGGCUAGGUGUUUGGGCGGCCACGAGCCGCCCUAGUGCCGCAGGGAAGCUGUUAAGCCUGCCGCCUGGGGAGUACGGCCGCAAGGCUGAAACUUAAAGGAAUUGGCGGGGGAGCACCACAAGGGGUGAAGCUUGCGGUUUAAUUGGAUUCAACGCCGGAA
rnacentral:rRNA from 1 species